rnacentral:rRNA from 1 species
UGACGUCAAUCAUCAUGCCCCUUAUGACCUGGGCUACACACGUGCUACAAUGGUUGGUACAACGAGUUGCGAGUCGGUGACGGCGAGCUAAUCUCUUAAAGCCAAUCUCAGUUCGGAUUGUAGGCUGCAACUCGCCUACAUGAAGUCGGAAUCGCUAGUAAUCGCGGAUCAGCACGCCGCGGUGAAUACGUUCCCGGGCCUU